ACCCCCUGAUGCAGCCCUAAAUGCCCCCAAAUUCUGCUCCUAGAGGACAAGAAAGUGCCUGGAGCAGCAUGUAGAUGGUGUUAGAGGAAGGGGGAAUCAAUGAAAAUUGUCUUCCUUCUGCAUGCAGAAACGAUCAGCAAGAUCCAACAUACUGAUGCCUUCUACAGUGGGCAACUUCAGAAGCAGAAUGGAUUGCAUCACUGCUGGGACCUAGAGGGACCCAAAAUUGAUUCCUACUGCCAUUCUUCUAGAGAACAGAAACAAGCUGUGUUUUGUCUUGCAUUCUACAAACAGGAAUCUUUGAUUGCGCUGCAAUGAUGUCAUUCAAGAUGCGAACUGAACCGAAGGAAUUGCAUCUUCAGUCUUGUUCAGAAUCCUGAUAUUUGUGUUUUCAUACAAUAGUUUGCUGCUAUUAUACAUGAGGGAAAAUGCCUAUAUUGAAUGCCACUGUAGUCAAAUGAGUGAUAUAUUAGAAAAAAACAGUGUAUUUGCAUAUUAA